AACAGGGGGAUAACCCGGAGAAAUCCGGACUAAUACCCCAUAAUAUGGGCGCUCCGCAUGGAGAGCCCAUUAAAGAGAGCAAUUUUGGUUACAGACGAGCAUGCGCUCCAUUAGCCAGUUGGCGGGGUAACGGCCCACCAAAGCGACGAUGGAUAGGGGUUCUGAGAGGAAGGUCCCCCACAUUGGAACUGAGACACGGUCCAA
rnacentral:rRNA from 1 species